CAAUAGAAUGGCUUUAUGGGCGGUCGGCUAAUCUCCCGGAAGGGAGGUGAUGCCUGUGAGCGUAUAUGAAGCACUAUCCAUCAUGUUCCAAUUUGGGCUGUGGAUAUUCGCGUUAUUGACGUUUGUGGUGACGCUGCUAAUAUACCUGCACACAAAGAAAUAGACCGCCCCCGGCAAAGGUAGCGAUCUAUUUCUGGACCUUUGAACUAGCCACCGCCUUUGAAGCGGCCAUUGCACUGGAGUCGUGUUCCCGCACGGCUC
rnacentral:sRNA from 1 species